rnacentral:rRNA from 1 species
AUUGAACGCUGGCGGCAGGCCUAACACAUGCAAGUCGAGCGGAAGAAGACUUCGGUCUUCGAGAGCGGCGGACGGGUGAGUAACGCGUGGGAAUCUGGCUCUUAGAGGGGGACAACUUGUGGAAACGCAAGCUAAUACCGCAUACGCCCUAAGGGGGAAAGCAGGGGAUCUUCGGACCUUGCGCUAAGAGAUGAGCCCGCGUCGGAUUAGCUAGUUGGUGGGGUAAAGGCCUACCAAGGCGACGAUCCGUAACUGGUCUGAGGGGAUGAUCAGUCACACUGGAACUGAGGCACGGUCCAGACUCCGACGGGAGGCAGCAGUGGGGAAUAUUGGACAAUGGGGGCAACCCUGAUCCAGCCAUGCCGCGUGUGUGAAGAGGGCCUUCGGGUUGUAAAGCACUUUAAGUUGGGAGGAAAGGGUUGUGGCUAAUAUCCAUAAUCUAUGACGUUACCAACAGAAUAAGCACCGGCUAACUCCGUGCCAGCCGCCGCAGUAA